rnacentral:rRNA from 1 species
GACGAACGCUGGCGGCAUGCCUAAUACAUGCAAGUCGAGCGAACAGAUGAAGUGCUUGCACUUCUGACGUUAGCGGCGAACGGGUGAGUAACACGUAAGGAAUCUGCCUAUAAGCGGGGGAUAACAUUCGGAAACGGGUGCUAAUACCGCAUAAUAUCUUCUUCCGCAUGGAAGAAGAUUGAAAGACGGCUCUGCUGUCACUUAUAGAUGACCUUGCGGUGCAUUAGUUAGUUGGUGGGGUAACGGCCUACCAAGACGAUGAUGCAUAGCCGACCCGCGAGGGGGAUCGGCCACAUAGGGACUGAGACACGGCCCAAACUCCUACGGGAGGCAGCAGUAGGGAAUCUUCCGAUAUGGGCGAAAGCCUGACGGAGCAAUGCCGCGUGAGUGAAGAAGGCCUUCGGGUCGUAAAACUCUGUUAUAAGAGAAGAACAAAUUGUAGAGUAACUGCUACAGUCUUGACGGUAUCUUAUCAGAAAGCCACGGCUAACUACGUACCAGCCGCCGCGGUAA